AAUAAGGACUGGAGCAAAGAAGAAGGAUGCCGCAAUUGCCUGUCUUUAAUUUGUCUUAGAUUCCAGGAAAACCAAGGUCUCCUCCUUUGGUAAACAUUUGAGUUAUAAUUUUUGGUUCUUGAAAAGUAAGAUUGUAAAUCCUUCUUCCACCUCUAGGUGUUUGUGUAAAUCCUUCUUCCACCUCUAGGUGUUUGUGUAAAUCCUUCUUCCACCUCUAGGUGUUUGUGUAAAUCCUUCUUCCACCUCUAGGUGUUUGUUUGAUUGAAUUCAACUCUUUUACUUAGAAAACAUGAAAAUCAUUAGUAUGAAAUUUGAUAGGAAACAAGCAUAAUUUUCAAAAACAAAAAAUUAAAUGGUUGUCAAAUAGAGCCUAAGAUUUUAAAAAAGCUUUAACUCUUAAGCCAGCCCAUAAUUUGUAGAAUUGAAAUUUUGUAUAUAAAUAUUUAAGCUGUAUAAAUAUAUAAAUAUUUAACAAAACUUCUGGCAUUGCCUCUUUGCCAGAAACUAAAAGCUUUCCAAAAACAGGUAAAAAGAUAUUGAUCAGAGAAGGCUUCGGUGUUAUUUUGAUGAGAGACUAAAGGUUGCAGUUUUUUCCAUCUCUAUGGAUAAAGGAUACUCGAUCUGUACAAUUUAUUGCUUCUUCCUUUUUCUAUUGAAAGUAAACUUUUCAGGAUGGAUAAAAGGUGUGGAAAUGAACC
rnacentral:lncRNA from 1 species